AACGGCACCGUUUUGAUAUUCAUAGACUCUUCAUUGGCUGGAGGAGACGCGGAGAGACUUCUUCCUUUUCUGCCGUCUCCGCCGUGUCUCAAGAUCCUCGAGCUAACACGACGGCGUUCUGGAACGUUUUGACUACACCUUAUCGUCAAGUACACGCGUCAACUAGUUCUUACCCUAACAACAUCCACCAAGAGUAUUCACAUUAUGGUAUAAAACUCUUUAUCUACUGUCUCUUUUUUUUAAUAUAUCCUAGAUUAUUAAUUUAUGCAUUGUGUUUUAGAUUUCGGAAAGCUAAACCGUUUAGUCAUACCAAAACAACACGCCGAGAGAUACCUCCCUCUCAAUAAUUGCGGCGGCGGCGACGACGUGACGGCGGAGUCGACGGAGAAAGGGGUGCUUCUCAGCUUCGAGGAUGAGUCGGGCAAGUCUUGGAAAUUCAGAUACUCAUAUUGGAACAGUAGUCAAAGCUACGUGUUGACCAAAGGAUGGAGCAGGUACGUCAAAGACAAGCACCUCAACGCAGGGGACGUCGUUUUAUUUCAACGGCACCGUUUUGAUAUUCAUAGACUCUUCAUUGGCUGGAGGAGACGCGGAGAGACUUCUUCCUUUUCUGCCGUCUCCGCCGUGUCUCAAGAUCCUCGAGCUAACACGACGGCGUUCUGGAACGUUUUGACUACACCUUAUCGUCAAGUACACGCGUCAACUAGUUCUUACCCUAACAACAUCCACCAAGAGUAUUCAC
rnacentral:lncRNA from 1 species